GACAGAGGCCUCAAGCGUUAGGCGGAAUCACUGGGCUUAAAGCGUGUGUAGGCGGAUCGUUAAGUGUCUUGUGAAAUCCCACGGCUCACCCGUGGAACUGCUGGGCAUACUGGCGAUCUUGGGCCAACUAGGGGCAACUGGAACAAGCGGUGGAGCGGUGAAAUGCGUAGAUAUCAGGAGGAACACCGGUGGCGAAGGCGGAUCUCUGGGCCUUACCUGACGCUGAGGCGCGAAAGCUAGGGGAGCGAACAGG
rnacentral:rRNA from 1 species